AUCGCUAGCGCGGGAGAGACUGUCACGGAACACGGUGACGGCGCCGACGGAGCAACCGCCCCGGAAACUCUCAGGCCCAAGGACCGCGCAGCAGGA
rnacentral:ncRNA from 2 species